CGGAGACGCAAAGACGGAGGCGUCCUGUUGUGGAGAGCAUUGAAGUUUUAUCGUGGAGGUCGACUACUCGUUGUCCUGAUACAAACUUCUGUGUGACUUGCAACAGUGUGCAAGCAAGGAAUGGAAAAGGUGGGACUCGGGUGCAAAGGUGAAGUUAUCGAAGUCCCAAAAAAGUCGCCAGGCUUACAGGAUGGUGAGGCAGAGAACCUAAUGUGGAGAAUGCAGAGAAGAGUAACUACAGCUUGAGAAGUGCCACAGGACAGCUGGGAUUGAUCCGGAUGCCGCUUGGCUACACACUCAGCGGCACGUCAACAACUGUCCCAACUAAAGAGAUUUGGAUUGACGAGUUCAAAGAAAAGGGACAGAGAGCUGAGAUAAAGGAGGGGAACAAACAAUCCAAAUAUUCAAACCCACGCUGAGAGACUGGCACCAUGAGGUCCAGAGGCGCAGGACACUGGCCCCAAGUGGAUCCAAACUGUCCCAAGUAAAGAUCUCACAGUACAUGCAGCUCUCCACUAGAGGGCGGUGUAGUAUAACAUAUAGUCAACACGCUGGUCCUACACUGACUCGACCUCUUGCAGUAUAUCGGAGAGCAAGCAGGCACAGAACCAUAUCGCAUUUUGUGGUCUUAGUGCGUCACGUCUGGGGACCUUUUAACACUUUUUUAUUAUUUUGAGACGUGCUA